rnacentral:rRNA from 1 species
GAUGAACGCUGGCGGCGUGCCUAAUACAUGCAAGUCGAGCGAACAGAUAAGGAGCUUGCUCCUUUGACGUUAGCGGCGGACGGGUGAGUAACACGUGGGUAACCUACCUAUAAGACUGGAAUAACUCCGGGAAACCGGGGCUAAUGCAGGAUAACAGGUUGAACCGCAUGGUUCUACAGUGAAAGGCGGCUUUGCUGUCACUUAUAGAUGGACCCGCGCCGUAUUAGCUAGUUGGUGAGGUAACGGCUCACCAAGGCAACGAUACGUAGCCGACCUGAGAGGGUGAUCGGCCACACUGGAACUGAGACACGGUCCAGACUCCUACGGGAGGCAGCAGUAGGGAAUCUUCCGCAAUGGGCGAAAGCCUGACGGAGCAACGCCGCGUGAGUGAUGAAGGUCUUCGGAUCGUAAAACUCUGUUAUUAGGGAAGAACAAAUGCGUAAGUAACUGUGCGCGUCUUGACGUUACCUAAUCAGAAAGCCACGGCUAACUACGUG